rnacentral:misc_RNA from 1 species
UCUCUCUGUUCGCUUUGUAUCCAACUGUCGCCUCACUGAACUUCUCAACGGCGAUUUCAUUUGCUAUAUUUGCUCCCAUUAGCACACAACAAUUAAUGCCAAGCAGCUCAGAAAUAAGAUUUGAGAUCAUGCAAGGGCCUUCCAUUUUGACCUCCAUUCCUUUGAUGAGUGAAAUAGCCUCUACACCUUCCUUUAUCUUCCCAACAAGUCUCUUGCAUAUACCCUCCAUAAACUGAUGUGGAGUUACAAAUACCAACAUGUUUGCAUCCCUCACGGCAUUGUCAAGAUCAGGAUCUGCAAUAACAUUUUUUCCAAGCUUUAUACCCGGGAGAUAUUUAACAUUUUCAUUAGUUCGGUUAAUGACAUCUGUUAACUUCUCACCACUUGGUAAUGU